AGGACGACAGGGUCAUCUCUUCAAGGCACAACUGAAGACACUCGGGAAAGAAGACUUCCAGAACUGCUUCAGAAAGUGACAAGAACGAUGAGAUAAAUGUGUUUAAGUCCUCAAGACAAGAGACGAAGAGGAUAUAUGCGCCCUCUCAUCUUUCCUGGGGAACCCAGGGCUACCCAUCCUCCCAAGAAUAUCCCAGAUGGCUUUAUUAUCAAGUAUGAUGGUGAAGGAUGUUAUACUCUCGCAUCGAUUUUCUACAAGUUCUAAUAUUGAAGACAAGGAGAGUUCUUCCAUCAGCUUCCAGCCAACAGAGAACAGAGCCUGUUAAAACUCCCAUAAGAGCUUCCAAGGAAGGCAACAGUGAUGGAUUACAGACUGCCCU